rnacentral:rRNA from 1 species
UAAUACGGAGGGUGCAAGCGUUAAUCGGAAUCACUGGGCGUAAAGCGCACGUAGGCGGUGCCGUAAGUCGGAUGUGAAAGCCCUCGGCUCAACCGGGGAACUGCAUUCGAUACUGCGGUGCUUGAGUGUCGGAGAGGGUGGCGGAAUUCCAGGUGUAGGAGUGAAAUCCGUAGAUAUCUGGAGGAACACCAGUGGCGAAGGCGGCCACCUGGCCGACAACUGACGCUGAGGUGCGAAAGCGUGGGGAUCAAACAGG